rnacentral:tRNA from 1 species
AUGCUUGUGUCAGUUUCGGGGUCACCUUGACAUGGUGGGGGUCGUUGGUUCGAGUCCAAUCGCGCCUACCA